UACGAAGGGGGCUAGCGUUGCUCGGAAUCACUGGGCGUAAAGGGUGCGUAGGCGGAUCUUUAAGUCAGGGGUGAAAUCCUGGAGCUCAACUCCAGAACUGCCUUUGAUACUGAAGGUCUUGAGUUCGGGAGAGGUGAGUGGAACUGCGAGUGUAGAGGUGAAAUUCGUAGAUAUUCGCAAGAACACCAGUGGCGAAGGCGGCCUUCUGGACCAAUACUGACGCUCAUGCACGAAAGCGUGGGGAGCAAACAGG
rnacentral:rRNA from 1 species